GUGCUCGCGUCAGCAGCACAUGUAGUAAAACUGGAACGAUACAGAGAAGACUAGCAUGGCCCCUGAGCAAGGAUGACAUGCAGAUUCAUGAAGCGUUCCAUGUUUUU
ensembl:snRNA U6 U6 spliceosomal RNA